rnacentral:rRNA from 1 species
AAACUAACAAGGAUUCCCCCAGUAACGGCGAGUGAAGAGGGAAAAGCUCAAAUUUGUAAUCUGGCACCUUCGGUGUCCGAGUUGUAAUCUCUAGAAAUGUUUUCUGCGCUGAACCAUGUCUAAGUCCGUUGGAACACGGCGUCAUAGUGGUGAGAACCCAGUACAUGAUGUGGAUGCUCAGUGCUUUAUGAUACAUUUUCAACGAGUCGAGUUGUUUGGGAAUGCAGCUCAAAUUGGGUGGUAAAUUCCAUCUAAAGCUAAAUAUUGGCGAGAGACCGAUAGCGAACAAGUACCGUGAGGGAAAGAUGAAAAGCACUUUGGAAAGAGAGUUAAAAGUACGUGAAAUUGUUGAAAGGGAAACGUUUGAAACUAUACUUGCUUUAUGGUUCGCCAUAUCGCAGGCCAGCAUCAGUUUCUGGGUGUAGAAAAGGGUAUUUAGAAUGUGGCAGCUUCGGCUGUGUUAUAGCUUUUUACUAGAUCUACACUUGGGGACUGAGGACCGCAGCUUUGCUUAGGAUGUUGGUUUGGUUUUAAACGAC